UUUGGCUAUUUUCCAAAGCGGAGGAAAAGAAACCAACAGGGAUUGCCUUAGUAACGGCGAGUGAAGCGGCAAAAGCUCAAAUUUGAAAUCUGGCACUUUCAGUGUCCGAGUUGUAAUUUGAAGAAGGUAACUUUGGAGUUGGCCCUUGUCUAUGUUCCUUGGAACAGGACGUCACAGAGGGUGAGAAUCCCGUGCGAUGAGGUGUCCAAUUCUAUGUAAAGUGCUUUCGAAGAGUCGAGUUGUUUGGGAAUGCAGCUCUAAGUGGGUGGUAAAUUCCAUCUAAAGCUAAAUAUUGGCGAGAGACCGAUAGCGAACAAGUACAGUGAUGGAAAGAUGAAAAGAACUUUGAAAAGAGAGUGAAAAAGUACGUGAAAUUGUUGAAAGGGAAGGGCUUGAGAUCAGACUCGGUAUUUUGCAAGCCUAUCCUUCGUGGAGAGGUUUAUUAGCAGCUUACCGGGCCAGCAUCGGUUUGGAUGGUAGGAUAAUGGCAUUGGAAUGUGGCUCCUCGGAGUGUUAUAGCCUUUGUUGAUACUGCCUAUCUAGACCGAGGACUGCGUCUUGACUAGGAUGCUGGCCCA
rnacentral:rRNA from 1 species